AAACAUUCAUUUCACCAGAAAGAAAGAUCAGAAUUUCAGAAGUAAUAAAAUUCUCUGAAAAUGGCUUCCCGAUUCUGUCAAUCUUUCAUCUUCGGAGUUUUGCUUGUUGCCUUGGUUCUCACAUCAGUACCAGAAGCAGUAACAGGAAUAACUGAUCCAGGCCUUCACUGCAUAGGGCAAUGCACUGGACAAUGCAACACAGAUUGCAGUAAGAAAGGCUUUAAGAGUGGCUUCUGUCUCAAACAAGGAUCUGUUAACGUUUGUUGCUGUUCUUGAUUCACUUAUAUUUUCUACUAUUUUUUAAUAAAAUGCGUGUUUGAACUAA